rnacentral:rRNA from 1 species
GACGAACGCUGGCGGCGUGCUUAACACAUGCAAGUCGAACGGGCCUUGUCCCCUUUUUUUUGGGGGUGGGGUUAGUGGCGAACGGGUGAGUAACACGUGAGUAACCUGCCCCUCACUUCUGGAUAACCGCUUGAAAGGGUGGCUAAUACGGGGUGUUCUGGCCUGCUCGCAUGGGUGGGUUUGGAAAGAUUCGACCGGUUUUGGUUGUUUUGGUGGGGGAUGGGCUCGCGGCCUAUCAGCUUGUUGGUGGGGUGAUGGCCUGCCAAGGCUUUGACGGGUAGCCGGCCUGAGAGGGUGGGCGGUCACACUGGGACUGAGACGCGGCCCAGACUCCUACGGGAGGCAGCAGUGGGGAAUAUUGCACAAUGGGCGCAAGCCUGAUGCAGCGACGCCGCGUGAGGGAUGGAGGCCUUCGGGUUGUGAACCUCUUUCGCCAGUGAAGAAGGUCCUGCUCUUUGUGGUGGGGUUGACGGUAGCUGGGUUAAUGAAGCGCCGGCUAACUACGUG